UUGGGAGUGAGACCGGGUACAGUCCCCUCCAAAUGUAUUGGAACGAGACAAUGUUCUCAAAACCUGGACAAAGACGACUAAAACUAUCUGCGUGGCUGGAUUGCAGUAGAGGUACGAGGUUUAAUAUUGGUGAACCAAUCCUUUAACUUGUCGGUAAAAGAGAGAUGUGGAUCACAGUGGAUGAUGGGAGUGUGAGCAGUGGAGCAGAGCAGCUGGGGUUUAGGAGUCUGAUCACAGCCUACCGUAAGUGGGCUCCUGAGGGGGGCUUUAGUUACCAGCACCUGCCUGAGUGGGUGUGUGAAGAGAUGACCAAGAACAGAUUACAAUAACAUUACAUUUCCCAAUUUCCUCCAGAUUCUGUUCUAGCUGUACAAUAAAAUCAGUUGCAUCGA